rnacentral:tRNA from 1 species
CUAUCAGUAGCUCAAUUGGAUAGAGCAGCAGAUUACUAAUCUGUAGGUUAUGGGUUCGAGUCCCAUCUGGAGGA